rnacentral:rRNA from 1 species
AUACGUAAGGGGCAAGCGUUGUCCGGAUUCACUGGGCGUAAAGGGCGCGUAGGCGGCGAUACAAGGCAGAGGUGAAAGCUAUGGGCUCAACCCAUAAACUGCCUUUGAAACUGUAUUGCUUGAGUAUUGCAGAGGAAAGUGGAAUUCAUGGUGAAGCGGUGAAAUGCGUAGAUAUCAUGGAGAACACCUAUGGCGAAGGCAGCUUUCUGGGCAAAUACUGACGCUGAGGCGCGAAAGCUAGGGUAGCGAACAGGAUUAGAAACCCCGGUAGUCC